rnacentral:sRNA from 1 species
GCAAUCAAAAUGGGACUUCCUUGAGGGCAGGCCUGUCUUGCAUCUGUUUCUCCACCACCUAGCCUGGAAUAUACUUCUUGGUGAAUUUUUGGAUGAAGCCAUUAAAUUAAUUGCUUGCCAUCAUGAGCAGAAGCAAGCGUGACAACAAUUUUUAUAGUGUAGAGAUUGGAGAUUCUACAUUCACAGUCCUGAAACGAUAUCAGAAUUUAAAACCUAUAGGCUCAGGAGCUCAAGGAAUAGUAUGUGCAGCUUAUGAUGCCAUUCUUGAAAGAAAUGUUGCAAUCAAGAAGCUAAGCCGACCAUUUCAGAAUCAGACUCAUGCCAAGCGGGCCUACAGAGAGCUAGUUCUUAUGAAAUGUGUUAAUCACAAAAAUAUAAUUGGCCUUUUGAAUGUUUUCACACCACAGAAAUCCCUAGAAGAAUUUCAAGAUGUUUACAUAGUCAUGGAGCUCAUGGAUGCAAAUCUUUGCCAAGUGAUUCAGAUGGAGCUAGAUCAUGAAAGAAUGUCCUACCUUCUCUAUCAGAUGCUGUGUGGAAUCAAGCACCUUCAUUCUGCUGGAAUUAUUCAUCGGGUUAGUAGAAAAAACUAUCAUCAUACUCUUUGUUUUCUCAUUGAGGUGAAAUUCAUGUAACAAAAUUAACCAUUCUAAAGUGGCAUUUUUAGUACUUUCACAGUGCUGUACAACUACCACCCAUAUUAAAUUCUAAAAUAUUUUCAUUACCCCCAAAAAA